CAUAUACUUCCUCCGUUCGGAAUUACUUGUCUCGAAAAUAGAUGUAUCUAGAACUAGAAUAUAUCUAAAUACAUCCGUUUCUACGACCAGUAAUUCCGAACGGAGGGAGUAGAAA
rfam:Triticum aestivum genome assembly, contig: Triticum_aestivum_CS42_TGACv1_scaffold_571347_7AS